AUGUUUGGGCUUGACAGGUUUUCAGUACAGUCAGCUUCAGUUUGAUUGUAUUUUAAUUUAUAUUGGAUUAUGAGAGGGUGGCACAAUUGCUCAGUCGUUAGCACUGUCACCUCACAGCAAAAAGUUCCUGGGUUCAAAUCCGACAAGCAUAUUCUUCCUGUAGUCCAAAGGCAUCUGGUGACUGUAGAAUAAUGUGAGUGUGUCCCUCCUUAUUUUAGCCGUGUAACAGACAUCAGACCUGUCCAGAGUGUACCCCACAAAUACACUACCACAAAUACCCUAAGGUCAUGAGCACUAAAGAGAUUAUGACCAGCCUACCAUGCAGCAUUUCAACAUCCCAACACAUGAAAGUGGUUAAUGGUUACUGAAAUCCGAGACCGUUCAGUUGUCCUGUAUGCAUGAAUAUGGCUUCUCUCAACCUGCAACCCGAUAACCUUCAGCAACAGGAGGAAUGCUUUUAUCGCCUCAAGAGGGAACAACCUUCUUUCCCACAUUAACAUCCCCUUUGCUCUACCCCUUCAGUUCCCACCUGCUUGCCUCUCCUCGUAUCCCCAUUCACAGCUGUUAUCCAUUAUCAUUCUGCUUACCUGACCCCUCACCCUCCAUCUCUCCACCAUGGUACCUUUGUGGCAGUGACAUCUGAACCCUGUGAUUCUGUUAAAAGUGUCCUUUCUUACAUAAUUUCAACAUCGGCCUCAACAACCCAAUCCUUUCUUCCCUUGUAGAUGGGGAAAAAGGAGACCUGAAAGGAGGUUACAUGAACUUGACUGGGCAGAGAGCGAAUUUCCUUGCUAGCAUAUUUAGUACCUGGUGAAACAAAGAGACGGGGCGCAGCAGGAUUUAGUGCACUACCUUUAUAAGAAAGGGCUUUUGUAUUGGAUGUAUCAGCUAGUGAAAUUACAGGUUAAUUCAAAGACUCUGCAUAUGUUAUGUUUUGCGAUGAGAAAUGUUACACCUUGAGUGAAUGGAAGAACAGCAAGUCUGAUUGUUUCUAUUUAAAAAGAAAAUAUGCAGUGAGUAAAGAGAAUAUGAUCCUUGAAAUAGGCAGCUACAUAUGUGCAUUUUAGCCAUAUAAUAACAUCAGACCUUUUCUCCUCAAAAAGUCAGAUUUGAAACCAAAACUCCCUUAAUUCCAGUGCUUGGUUGCCUUGUACAAAGAAAACACAAAAGAAGGAAAUGGCAGCUUUAACUACUCAUGAAAAGAUUAAAAUCCCAGGAAACUGUCAACACAGGAUAUUGAAGGGGUUCCAGUCUCUAGAAUUGUCUGUUGGUUGUCUCUGGUUAUUCUUUUUUUCUCAGUUGUGGAAGGCUUAGGGUUGUUGUUUGCAUGUGAAUCAAAGAAUUUAAAGUCAAACCACCAUCUGGUAGAUGGCUACACCACUAACAUGCAAAACAGAUGCCUUCAUGUGUAUGCUUUGUUGAGAUCUCUAGGCAAAUGUAAUUUGUAUUGCAAAACACUUACUCAUAUGGGUGAAAUUUUAACAGCCAUAGUGUUGGAAAAGACACUUCCAGCCUUUGCAUAUGAUCUACCACCCUGUUGCUUGAAACAGAGUGGGGUGGUAUAUUGGAUCUAAAUUUUAGGCAUGCUAGACUUUGUGUUUAUAAGCUAUGGAAAAUUUGGAUUUUUUUUGGUUGUUGUAUGCAGGUAAUAUAUACUCUACAUAAUGCCAUGCUUUUCACUGCGGAAUGCCUAUUUACUCACUGUUGUUGUUGAAUGAUCAGUGGGAAAAGCCAUCUGAAAUUCUAGUUGCUUUUCUUAAACCACUGGUACCAAAUAUUAUUACUUUUUUGUGACCGGUAAUACUGCUCAUUUGAUCAAUUUAGCUGACACAUUCAUGCAACCAUCCUUAUAAAAAAAAUAAAAAAGAAUUGGCCAAGUCUCAAACAUCAGUGUUAUUGCUUGAACUGCAGUUGAGAAGCUCAACACUUAAUGAGCAAGAUAGGUGCUGCUUGUCAGUGGUAAUGGCUGUUUUCAGUGUGCAGCAGACCAUGACCUACAAGAGCCAUUCUUCAAACAUCCUGCCAACAUUUGUUGCCAAGCACCCCUUGUGUUACUCAUAACACAUGACAAUAUAAUGGUCAAAUGGGGCCAGUUAGCUUAACCAAAGACAGUAUGGACUAAGGGUGAAUAAUGAAUCAACAGCUGGAUAUUGAUCUUUACCAUUACCACAUAUGGGUCUACGCAGCAGAACAAACAUGGAGUAAAGUACCUCUCAGUCACUUUUAUGGACCCUGUCCAGCUCCACCUAAUGGCUACACACCACAUGAAGAACUGUUGCAUCCAGCUAGUAUUGCCACUUACAAACAAGACCUGCAGUGUCAUAUUUUCAUUAUGUCACUGAACCUAUGCAUUUUCAAACAAAACUACUCAUACUGUGGUAGUCAAGUAUUUUCUCUUUUACUAAAGUGGGCUGUGAAGCCAGUUAUUACAGGAUAAAACUGUAUCUGCAGGCGUAAACAACUGUAGUGAUGCUAUCUGUGUGCAUCUAUCCACCCAUGUCUCGGCGUAACACUUUGGCCAGGUUGCUGCUCACAUCAUCUGUUGCUAAUAGAGCUGGUUAUGCUGUCCAUAGUCCUGUCCAUAGUCCUGCUUGACACAACCUGUGACUGGAAGAUGCAGAUAGAUCUAGACCAGAAGCUCAUCUUUCUGUCAGAGAUUAUGACAACAAAUCUCAGGCCAGACCUGUAAUCUCCCUCACAGAGCUCCCUGUGCAUUGUGUAGCUUACUGUGCCUUGGGAGGCUUCAGUGGGUGAAGCAUAUGAAUGGAAAAGGUUGAAAUAUGCACACAUAGCAUAUGAAGCAGGGCAGCGGGGCUGGAGAGCAUGAGUGCUACCAGUGGAGGUGGGUUGCAGAGGUUUUGUGGCCAAAACCAACCACCAGGCUCCUGAAAGAGAUGGGAGUUUGAGGGCGGGCCCUUCGGCAAGCUACCAGGUCAUUAUCAGAGGCUGCCGAGUGUAGCAGCAACUGGCUAUGGUUGAAGAGACCUGGGGUGCCAGGUGUUGCUGUUGAGCCCUCUGGAGGUGUCAUGGGCCUAACACCAGUGAAGAAGGGUGCCCACCUGAUGACCCCAAUGAAGUGAUUACCCCUACAGCAAGAUGGCAAGAUGUUAACCAGCUGUUCUUAAAAUUAGGUAUU